rnacentral:rRNA from 1 species
AGAGUUUGAUCAUGGCUCAGAACGAACGCUGGCGGCAUGCCUAACACAUGCAAGUCGAACGAGACCUUCGGGUCUAGUGGCGCACGGGUGCGUAGCGCGUGGGAAUCUGCCCUUGGGUUCGGAAUAACAGUUAGAAAUGACUGCUAAUACCGAAUGAUGUCUUCGGACCAAAGAUUUAUCGCCCAAGGAUGAGCCCGCGUCGGAUUAGCUAGUUGGUGAGGUAAAGGCUCACCAAGGCGACGAUCCGUAGCUGGUCUGAGAGGAUGAUCAGCCACACUGGGACUGAGACACGGCCCAGACUCCUACGGGAGGCAGCAGUGGGGAAUAUUGGACAAUGGGCGAAAGCCUGAUCCAGCAAUGCCGCGUGAGUGAUGAAGGCCUUAGGGUUGUAAAGCUCUUUUACCCGGGAUGAUAAUGACAGUACCGGGAGAAUAAGCCCCGGCUAACUCCGUG